AUACGGAGGGUGCAAGCGUUAUUCGGAAUCACUGGGCGUAAAGGACGCGUAGGCGGGUUGGCAAGUCAGAUGUGAAAUCCUACAGCUUAACUGUAGAACCGCAUUUGAAACUGCUAACCUAGAGUAUGGGAGGGGGAGAUGGAAUUAGUGGUGUAGGGGUAGAAUCCGUAGAUAUCACUAGGAAUACCGAAAGCGAAGGCGAUCUCCUGGAACAUAACUGACGCUAAGGCGUGAAAGCGUGGGGAGCAAACAGGAUUAGAAACCCCAGUAGUCC
rnacentral:rRNA from 1 species